UGCAAGUCGCGCGAGAAAGGGGGGCAACUCCCUGAGUAAAGCGGCGCACGGGUGAGUAAUGCGUAGGUAAUCUACCCUUGAGUCCAGGAUAACCUACCGAAAGGUGGGCUAAUACCGGAUAUGACCACGGGGAUCUCGGUCCCUGAGGUGAAAGGUGGCCUCUGUUUACAUGCUACCGCUCAUCGAUGAGCCUGCGCGCCAUUAACUGGUUGGCGGGGUAACGGCCCACCAAGGCGAUGAUGGCUAGCUGGUCUGAGAGGAUGACCAGCCACACUGGGACUGAAACACGGCCCAGACUCCUACGGGAGGCAGCAGUAGGGAAUAUUGCGCAAUGGGCGAAAGCCUGACGCAGCGACGCCGCGUGGGUGAUGAAGGCCUUCGGGUCGUAAAGCCCUGUCGAGGGGAAAGAAACGGUCCCGACCUAACACGUCGGGGCCUUGACGGUACCCCUAAAGGAAGCACCGGCUAACUCCGUGCCAGCAGCCGCGGUAAUACGGAGGGUGCGAGCGUUGUUCGGAAUCACUGGGCGUAAAGGGCGUGUAGGCGGUCCGCUAAGUCUGAUGUGAAAGCCCGGGGCUCACCCCCGGAAGGGCAUUGGAAACUGACGGACUC
rnacentral:rRNA from 1 species